ACUGGCGGCGUAUCAUCCAUUAGUGGUCGCUUUCGUGACAAUGGCGAUGUGGGAAAAAUGCGAAUUUCUAUGUCAUCAGUCCGUUGAUACUGUCACACGACAAACAUGCAUUAUACUACACAAAGAAAAAAUAGAAACAAUAAACAAAUAAAUGUUUGGUGGGGACCUCUCAGGUCCGGUUUGUUAUACCUUAAGGAGUUCUCCGAGACGACUACCCUGCAUGGUAUACGCCAUAUUGGCCUAUCCAACAGACAUUUUAUAGAAAUACUUAUUUGGGUUCUGUGUGAAAUAUUAGCAAUUUACGGAUCUUAUAAUGUGAUGCAUAACAGUUGGAUACGAUACAAUACAAAUCCUACUGUUGUAACAGUACAAAAAGAUUAUCGAUUUUGGUAUCUCCGGUUUCCGAGUACUACAUUCUGUUAUGUAGACCCCGUGAACACAGAAUUUGCUAAAGACUAUGUACAACGUAAAUGGAAAGUAAGUUCUGGUAAAAAAUUUGAUUACUAUAUGGAUUUUGUGAAAAACGUUGCAAACAUAACUUAUGAAAACUUAGACAAUAUAGCGCCUUUUGUCAAUAAUUCUGCAUUAAUUAAUGUUGACAUUAUCGACUUAGUUAUAAAGGUACAUGCUGAACCUCGUUUUAAUACUACAAUAUUCAGCACUGACUAUAAAAAUAUUACUUAUCAACCAGUAUUAACUGAAAUGGGCAUCUGUUACACUUUCAGUGGUAUAAUAACUGAUUAUUUAACACCCAAUAGCGAACUGCAAAACAUAAAUUCUAACUAUCCGAUACCAUUGUGCAACUUUCUCAACUCAUUAUGUUACGCAAAAGCAGAAAACCUACCUCGAAGUAUUUUGUAUUACGUUCAUUAUUCAAAAGAAGUACCAAAUAUAGUAGACAAAUAUUACGAGGUGCAAGAGGGUAUGGAACGAGAUACGACGUUCACGUUUUGGGAGAUGAUAUCAGCUCCUGAAUUGAGACGACUAAGUCCGUCGCAACGUCAAUGUCGUUUCAUGGACGAACCAAUGGAUAACACAAUACCCGUUUACAGUUAUAACGUAUGUAGGAUGAUAUGUAGAAGAAAUCUGGCUUUGAAGUUGUGCAAAUGUACUCCACAUUUUUAUCCAUACCCAGGUAAAAUGCAAGUUUGCAACAUCAAAGGUCUUUAUUGUUUGUCAAAUCAUAGCAAAAUGUUGAUGACAUUAGAAAAAAAUGAUGGGACGCCAAUCGAAUGCAAUUGUCAGAUGCAGUGCGAAGAAGUUAAACUGUUUUUGGACAGAGAUGCAAUAAGGACAUGGGCGUAUCCAGCUUCAAAGGACAACAUCAUUUACCGUUGGGCAAUUGACAAGUAUAGUAAGACACGAUUGCGCCGCGACGUCAUCUACAGCUUUGAAGAUUUAUUGGUGUCUCUAGGAGGUACGGCGUCAUUUUUUCUUGGUUGUAGUGUUCUGUCUUUCGUCGAGAUCGGAUACUACCUCACACUAAGGCUGUAUUGGUUUAUCAAUCAAAAACACAAAGAUUAUUAAAAGUAUAAUUAGGUAGGUACUGUCAUAAACUCAUAACCUCAUAUUUAGCAGAAAUGAACAACAAAUUCAUGGAGGAGCUAGGAACAAUGAAAUUAUUGAUUUUGCAAUGACCUGUUCUGAAACUACUUUUUAGAAAAGAUAGAAAAAACGCUUCAAUCUGCAACUUCAAUCUAUCUUUUUUGGUUUAGAUCCAAAAAUUUGCUGUAUCAGAUUUGUAUUUUUGGAAACAAUACAUUUAAAUUCAAAUUUUGACGAAAUAGAAUAUUCAAAUGACAAAUAAUAAUAUAACAAUUUUAAUUAUUUUGUUACAGUUUAAAAAUAUUUGUGAGAACUUAAAAUGUAUAUAUUAUUAUUAUUAUAAAUAAUUUUCCUAUAAUUAGUUUUUCCUUAAAAGAAAAACAUUACUGUAUUACUUGUCUUCUUAGUUCUUAGACAUUUCUCAAGAAUUAAACAGCAUCUAGCACACAAGCC